CAAGAAUCAUAUAUUUAAACAAAAUUUACUGUGCAAAGACCUGAUAUGAGUCGCCUCUAGGCUUUGACUCAGUCCUUUGUCCCUUCCAGGUCUUUUUCAGCUUAAACACACAAUUAACAGUGUUUCAGUACCUUAUCUCACAAUAAAUCUAAUAAUAAUUCAUAUAUACUCAAUUCUAGCCCUAAUAUGUUUAAACUAACGUUCUUGGAAAUUUUCAUUUCGGAGUUAUUAUUCACAACACUAUUCAAGUCAAUUUGUUGA
rnacentral:misc_RNA from 1 species